CCUACGGGAGGCAGCAGUGAGGAAUAUUGGUCAAUGGUCGGGAGACUGAACCAGCCAAGCCGCGUGAGGGAUGAAGGUACAGAGUAUCGUAAACCUCUUUUGUCAGGGAACAAAGGCGGGGACGUGUCCCCGGAUGAGUGUACCUGAAGAAAAAGCAUCGGCUAACUCCGUGCCAGCAGCCGCGGUAAUACGGGGGAUGCGAGCGUUAUCCGGAUAUAUUGGGUUUAAAGGGUGCGCAGGCGGUCUGUUAAGUCAGCGGGCAAAGCCCGGGGCUCAACCCCGGCCCGCCGUUGAAACUGGCAGUCUCGAGUUGGAGAGAAGUAUGCGGAAUGCGCGGUGUAGCGGUGAAAUGCAUAGAUAUCGCGCAGAACUCCGAUUGCGAAGCCAGCAUGCCGGCUCCACACUGACGCUGAGGCACGAAAGCGUGGGUAUCGAACAGGAUUAGAUACCCCGGUAGUC
rnacentral:rRNA from 1 species